CUGCAGUCAAAUGAUCCCAGAGGAGAAUGAUUCAAAUAAAUAGUCUGAGCUCCACAGUAAUUCUCAUAUUCAGCAAGACUUUUAAGAGGGCUAAACAAGUAAAAUGAAGGCCUUGCUGGUUGUUUUGGCCCUCUUUCUGCCCAUCAUAAAUGCCCAGGUGCCACACUGGGGGCCGUGCCCAGAGCCUGCUACUCAACCUGCCUUCAACCUAAAGAAGGUGGUUUGAGAUCGCUAAACUUCCAGCACAGUUUGAGCGAGGGAGAUGCAUUGAGACUAACUUCACUCUCAAGCUGGAUGGAACGGCUAAUGUAGUGAGCUCUGAAAUUCUGUGGGUACCAACAUCUGAAUCACAGUUUUGUAUUAUUCCUUAGAGUUUUAUAUGAGGUAAUAGUUAAACCGUGGACUUUAUUUUCAUUAGAA